AACCACAAAAGCCAACACAGGAGACAUGGCCAGAGAGCCAAGAUCACCAGUGGACAAACCCGCCUUUCCAUACGGGCAAGUACUCCACUGAUCCAUAUGGAGCUUCAAGGUCCAGACCCCCGCCCCAAUUCGAUGCAGGACGGUACUCCGACGCCUCUUAUGCUUUCACGAACGACUACUACCAAGAGGCUGGUGCUUUCUUCACCCAUACCGACAACACCCUCCUCGACAUCCAGAAUACACAAGCAGAACAUGGACGACUCCUGGAACAACAACAAAAAUGGAACCAGGACCACACCACUACAGUACAAGAACUGAGACAAGACACCACGACAAUGAACGACAACAUCACCACCAUGAUGCGAUUCUGGAACAUUAGGUAAGACCGACAACCACAUCCAGCUUGGGGGAGUUCCUCCCCGUUUUAUCAGGUAAGUUUUUAUUUGAUUUUAUUAUUUAUUCUUUUAUAUUUUAGUAUUUUAUCUUAAAGAGAAAAACUUAGAAAACCUAAUAAAUAUUUUCUUGCUUUAAAUUACUGCAUUUUAUAAACAUGAAAACAAAAUAAAAAGAGUGUGUAGAUAAGUGUGCUUUAUUUAUCUGCUAAGUGUUAAUCUCUAGGAAAAAAAAUAAUAAAAGACUAAAAAGAUACAUGAUGGAAAUGAUGAACAGUUGCUCUGUUUGCUUACUUUCAAGUACCUAGAUUUUAUAUUAAAGUUCUUCCAUGAAUUACUAAAACUGAAAUUUACUAUCUAUGGGAAGCAUAAACCUAAAACUAAAGUCUAAGUAAGAGAAAGACAUGAUAUAAAAUUUGAGCUACUGUUUAUCUUGUUCCUACUACACUAAGUUCUGGAGAUUUAUUUUGAAAACUUGCAUAUCACAUGAUGAGUUCCUAGCACGACAAAAUUUCUACCACAUCCAUACUUGCUAUAAUAUCUUUUCCUACUUAUAUUCACAUUGAGUUUGAUCGAGCUGUGUAGACCCUUAGGAGCUUUUCAUGUGGUUAAAUUAAGAUAUUCACUUGCACACAUCUACUACACCAUCCACCACCAUUCAUUAAAAUUGCUAAAAAAUAUUAUCACUCACUGUCCCAAGUGUUGUUAUUGUCUCUCUCUAAAAAGAUUCAAUGCAGAAGAGGCAUGGGUUAUGCAAAAAUAUGCGAGGAAUAAAAAGGGGCAAGUGCCCGGAACCUCGAAAAAGAAAGAAAAAGAGUGAGAUAAGAGGUAAAAAUGGACAAGUGCCCGGAGUAGAAUUAGGGGUACAAAGAUACCCACCUGAGCGGAAAAAAUGGACAAGUGUCCGACAGUAGAAUUAGGGGUAUUUACUACCCACCUGAAAAAAAAAUAGCCCAUGUUCUCCCAAAGCAAAGAAAAAAAGAGGAGAGAUAGCAAUAUGAGGAGCAAUGGGGAGUAAGUUUUAUCAUCACUUAUAUAUUCACCAUCACUAUCAUUUACUCCACCAC
rnacentral:lncRNA from 1 species